AGAGUUUGAUCAUGGCUCAGGACGAACGCUGGCGGCGUGCCUAAUACAUGCAAGUCGAGCGAGCUUGCCUAGAUGAUUUUAGUGCUUGCACUAGAUGGAACUAGAUACAAGCGAGCGGCGGACGGGUGAGUAACACGUGAGUAACCCGCCCAAGAGACUGGGAUAACACCUGGAAACAGAUGCUAAUACCGGAUAACAACACUAGACGCAUGUCUAGAGUUUGAAAGAUGGUUCUGCUAUCACUCUUGGAUGGACCUGCGGUGCAUUAGCUAGUUGGUAAGGUAACGGCUUACCAAGGCAAUGAUGCAUAGCCGAGUUGAGAGACUGAUCGGCCACAUUGGGACUGAGACACGGCCCAAACUCCUACGGGAGGCAGCAGUAGGGAAUCUUCCACAAUGGACGAAAGUCUGAUGGAGCAACGCCGCGUGAGUGAAGAAGGGUUUCGGCUCGUAAAGCUCUGUUGGUAGUGAAGAAAGAUAGAGGUAGUAACUGGCCUUUAUUUGACGGUAAUUACUUAGAAAGUCACGGCUAACUACGUGCCAGCAGCCGCGGUAAUACGUAGGUGGCAAGCGUUGUCCGGAUUUAUUGGGCGUAAAGCGAGUGCAGGCGGUUCAAUAAGUCUGAUGUGAAAGCCUUCGGCUCAACCGGAGAAUUGCAUCAGAAACUGUUGAACUUGAGUGCAGAAGAGGAGAGUGGAACUCCAUGUGUAGCGGUGGAAUGCGUAGAUAUAUGGAAGAACACCAGUGGCGAAGGCGGCUCUCUGGUCUGCAACUGACGCUGAGGCUCGAAAGCAUGGGUAGCGAACAGGAUUAGAUACCCUGGUAGUCCAUGCCGUAAACGAUGAGUGCUAAGUGUUGGGAGGUUUCCGCCUCUCAGUGCUGCAGCUAACGCAUUAAGCACUCCGCCCGGGGAGUA
rnacentral:rRNA from 1 species